rnacentral:misc_RNA from 1 species
UCUCCGUUGGUGAACCAGCGGAGGGAUCAUUACCGAAGUUACCUUCAAAACCCACUGUGAACCUUACCUCUUGCCGCGUUGUCUCGGCGGGAGGCGGUGGGCGUCACGCGCCCUAGCGGGCCGCGCCGCUCCCGGCCCCGCCGGCAGCGCCAAACUCUAAAUGCACAGCGGACUGUACGUUCUGAUUUACAACAAAAAACAAGUUAAAACUUUCAACAACGGAUCUCUUGGUUCUG